rnacentral:rRNA from 1 species
UUUACGGGGUGACCGCGUACCUUUUGUAUAAUGGGUCAGCGAGUUAGUCUGGCGAGCAAGCCUAAGCCGAUAGGUGGAGGCACAGCGAAAGCGAGUCUUAAGAGGGCGUCGAGUUCGUCGGAUUAGACCCGAAACCGGGUGAUCUAGCCAUGGGCAGGUUGAAGGUGCGGUAACACGCACUGGAGGACCGAACCCACCUAUGUUGAAAAAUGGGGGGAUGACCUGUGGCUAGGGGUGAAAGGCCA